GUUUCAGUGAUUUGGAGCUUGUGCAUUAGGGUCCCGCUCUGAUUUCAAUUUUUGAAAGGUCCACCGUUUCAUUUUGGAAGAGGCAAUUUUCGUGCUAUGGUUAGGAUUGAGAGAGAACGCGAGAAAGAAAAAAAAAGGGAGAACCCAUGGCUGCCAACGGAGGCUGGACGUGAUCGGAAAAGUUCGUACCGGCGAAGUCGAAUUCGAAGGCGAAGUUCGUAUCGGACGUGAUUGGUGUGGAGCGCGGAAGAUUGGCCUUUUUGACGCUACGGAAAACAUCUUGCAUUAAUUUCUCAUGCUCUCGAAGCAUGUCAUCGAGGUUCCCACCCGGAGGCAUCAAUGGUCCAGAGUAGUGUAUCCUAUUUUUCUUCGGCAUAUAACCCUGAAAUCACACCACAACAGGUUGUAUGGUAGGUUCUGUGACUACUGACAAGGUUGCAAACCAGAAAUAAGGUGGUAAUAAAGAGAAGUUAGAUUGUUGUUUACCAUGGUGGAUUCAACAGCAGACGAGUCUGGUUCCUUUUUGAGGGCAGAGGUACAUAAAUCUGCUGUUGCAGGAUUCAAAUGAGACCUCUGAUUCUUCAAAGAUGGUUCUACUCUCUUGCUCAAUGUGGAUGAUCCUGCUACACUGCCUCGCGUCAUUGUAGCAGCAUGCGUGAAGCCACCGUGUACACUUACUCUGCCUCCUUCACCGUUCUCCUUGGCCUCCCUAUUCUCCUGGCACAGAUAUUUUUGACGGCACAUUAUACUGUUUGGUUUCCUCUGCCAAUGUUGAAGUAUUCAUGACCCCGUCAAAUCGAAUAAAGUUGUCAAUAAUAAUCAAUCUCCAUGGAAAUAUAUGUUUAGAAGCAUAAACAUACCAGCAUAGAUAUAUUUCCCUGAGCGUUAUACUGUGGCGAACCCAGUGCCUUGGUAUCUCCUGCUCCUCUUAAAACCGAUGCUGGUGCACGUCCUCUAACAGCUUCCUGGUUUUUCCUGAUUGAAAAUAAAGGCAUGAUCGGCUUCCCCGCUAGCAAUUCGGCCAGAAUGCAACCAACACUCCACAAGUCAAUUGCUUCACCAUACUCUGUAGCACCCAGCAAAAGCUCAGGUGCCCUAUACCACAGAGUCACAACACGACUAGUCAAUGGCUGCUUUUUUUCAGGAUCAUAUACUGUUGCAAGACCAAAAUCUCCUAUUUUAAGAUUUCCAUUGUUGUCAAUAAGAAGAUUUGAACCCUUGAUGUCACGGUGCAGCACACCACGACUGUGGCAAUGUUGAAGCCCACGAAGCAGUUGCUGCAGAAAACAUUUUAUCUGCAAAGCGAACAAGAAAAUAAUUGAAUAACAAUGCAUCUCAACUCUUGUUGGUUUAAAAAUGAAAGAAAAGCUGCCUGUGACCAGAAUCCACUCGAGUUAACUUCAAGCCAUGUACAGUUGCUAGCCCAGCGAGGUCAUGUUCCAUGUAUUCAAAAACAAGGUACAAACUGGUGGACGUUCUUGAAGUAACAAGACCCUCGAGCUUCAUGACAUUG